ACAGAGAAGGAGAAGGAAAGGAAAGGAGAAAAAAAAAAGAGUAAAAAGUUGUGCGUUAACCAUUUCAGUGAAUGCAGCUCAAAAAUUAAAAAUAAGAAGGCAAAAAAAGUUGCAUGCUAACCCAUUUCAAUCAAUGCACCUCUCUUUGUAAGAAUGGUGCAUACCCAAGUUUGAAAAUGGAAGAGAAUGAAUUUAAUUGUUAGGAUUUUUUGAGGACGUUUGGCUUAACUUAUGAAAAUCAGCUUAUA
rnacentral:misc_RNA from 1 species